rnacentral:rRNA from 1 species
AUUGAACGCUGGCGGCAGGCUUAACACAUGCAAGUCGCACGCAGUGGGGACGGGUGAGUAACACGUGGGUAACCUCCCAUCAGAGGGGAUAACACUUGGAAACAGGUGCUAAACCGAUAUUGAUGGAUGGACCCGCGGUGCAUUAGCGAGUUUGUGAGGUAAAGGCUCACCAAGGCCACGAUGCAUAGCCGGCCUGAGAGGGUGAUCGGCCACACUUGGACUGAGACACGGCCCAUACUCCGACGGGAGGCAGCAGUGGGGAAUAUUGCACAAUGGGCGCAAGCCUGAUGCAGCCAUGCCGCGUGUAUGAAGAAGGCCUUCGGGUUGUAAAGUACUUUCAGCGGGGAGGCGUUACCCGCAGAAGAAGCACCGGCUAACUCCGUGCCAGCAGCCGCGGUAAUAC